GUGAGGAAUUUUCCGCAAUGGGCGAAAGCCUGACGGAGCAAUGCCGCGUGAAGGAUGAAGGCCUAUGGGUUGUAAACUUCUUUUCUCAGAAAAGAAUUAUGACGGUAUCUGAGGAAUAAGCAUCGGCUAACUCUGAGCCAGCAGCCGCGGUAAGACAGAGGAUGCAAGCGUUAUCCGGAAUGAUUGGGCGUAAAGCGUCUGUAGGUUGUUUAAAAAGUAUUCUGUCAAAGAUUAGGGCUUAACCCUAGAUAGGCAGAAUAAACUUUUAAGCUAGAGUUUGGUAGAGGCAGAGGGAAUUCCCGGUGGAGCGGUGAAAUACGUAGAUAUCGGGAGGAACACCAAAGGCGAAGGCACUCUGCUGGGCCAAUACUAACACUGAGAGACGAAAGCGAGGGGAGCAAAUGGGAUUAGAAACCCUAGUAGUCC
rnacentral:rRNA from 1 species